CAUCGACCCAUGAAAACGAAGCUUCCAAGGAAAUGUCCACACGGUACGGGCUCUGGUGGAAUGUCAUCCCGGACAUCGUAUCCGGAUCCGCUUUAAGGUGGUGGCACACAAUGCAAGUGGCCCCGUACGCUUCCAGAAAACCGUAUAAAAUUGACCAGAAAACUUGUAAAUGGCCACACACAGCACCGCAACAAUCGCACCGUGGCCUAUAACAACUUAGCGGUAAAACUCGACGAAGUACGGCAGAUGCAAGGACAAACUCCUUUUUCCGACCGAAAAAACACCGGAGCAGUACCAGCGCGUCUUGCCUUGCGUGGACUAUAGGCUUACCAUUUCUGUAAAUCAAGACGAAGCGUAUAUUUUGUCCAAGCCAGUCGGAAUACUCGGGGCUAGUGUGCCGAUUGCUCUGCUGCCAACUUAACAGCUGCCCUCAUAUUCUCUAGUCAUAGUGAACACACUUCCGACAUUGGAGAUAUAUCCUAUUGCAGCAAUUCUGCCUAUCAGCAACCAGAAGAACCCUCCGUGGAUAGUUUGAUCUGUUGAGACGAUCAAGUUUCUAAAGUGAGCCGAACUUUAGUUGUUGCAGAUGUUUAUCAGUGAUUGCUUAGAAGGUACUUUGAUCUGUGGUACUACUGCAAUUGACCUAAAUAAUUUCGAGAUUCUGCAUUGGUGGAAUGAAUUUUUGAAACGAUGUGCUAGAGAGCAAUGUAUGUACCCAAGUAGAAAUCCUGCGCUGGCCACAUGUGUUGGAAAAUUUAUUCGAUAACUUUUUUGCUAAACCCAUCUGUUUUGUGAACGAAUAUUUAACAUGAAGGUAACUUUCAAGCAUGUUCUUAAUCCACAUGCGAAAGACCGAACAAAACUUCACAUAGAUUUUCAUUGAAAAAGGUAAACAUAGACGUUCAUUCAAAUUUUUCAACAGAAUCCUGCAUUGAGCUUUAAUUGUUCUUGUUUUUAUUUUAAAUUCCAAGGGUAGAAGCGGCUUUUAAGCUAGGUCGAUAUUUAACUUUUAAACAGUUUUGGCUGAAAGAAGAAAUCAAGUAGAGCAUUAAGAUUGCUAUCGCAGAAUUUUUUGACAAACUCACCUUUGGCAGCUUUUUUUUAAACUUCCGGAGAACUCGCGCAAUAUUUUUACAGUUCAUCUUGUUGAGGGGAUGCGCAAUCACUUAGAGUACUUGCCUACGCUGGGGGAAACUUUUAUUUCAACCGGUGGUAAUUUUUCAUAUCGAGUACAUAAUCGCGACGUUAUGUGAGGAUUUUUUUUCCAAUCAAACUCAUAAUGCGUUGGCGAAUAAGCGGUGCACUGCAGUGAUAUUGAGAAUGAGAUGUGAGAAAUUAAGAAACUAAGACCGUUAGCAUGUCUUACUGCGUAGCUUCUAAAACUUCGAAACGAUGAGUUUCUAAAAAAAACCAGUCAUUCACCUUGAAAUCAAACGGAUUUAAAAUAUAAUUUUAAAAAAUAAUUACAAUUAAUUGAAAUUUAAUUAUUUCUCUAUGAACACUGCUUUAUUUGAAACAAACUUGAAUUUUUCAACAAAAUGUAGCAUCAUCUGUUAAAAAAUGAUAAACCCAUUUUAUUUUAGCAAUAUCGACGCCCAUGGCGAACAUCCUCUCUCAAUUUUAUCUGUUUUGUUUUGGUUUGCGUUUUCUGCAUUUCUCGCCUGCGCUUUCGUUACGUCGUAUGACCAUAAUAAUAAUUCACAGAAAACGUCUGCAAAAGUUUGAAAAACAACUUUAUUUUUUAAAUUUCAAAUCUGAAUAUGUUGUCCAGACAACAAAUAUUCUGAACAAAAAGAAGUAGAGACUAUUUUAUGUUAGUGUUUGUAUUUUUUGUAAUAGUACUCUUUGUUUAAAAAACGUCUCAUACGACGUAACGAAAGUGCACUUGAGAUUUCAUUCUAGGGUUUGUUUUCUGGUUUGCGUUUCAUCGAUUUCAUGUUUUUCAUUGGAAUUCUAAAUUUCUUGAAAUUAUCCUUCGAAGUACUGACCUUGAAGCAACAGAUUAAUGAAAUCCAGCUUUCGGAAAGGAACUGUUCUUCGGUGUAAUGUUAUUUAUCCAUCCAUCCAUAUUUGUCAGCUGCGAUUUGAUUCAGAAUCUGCUGUGACUGCUAAAUAGUUGUACCCAGGAAGAAACGAACUUAGGGUGCAUUAUGGCUGCUCUAUCGGUAAGUUUUCAUCAAUUUCGUGUAUGAUUCCGAUAGUGAUAAUCUCACACUUAUUUUCAGCUUUCGGUAUGGAAAAAUCUUUCAACCUAAAGGUACGCCGUGCGUUCUGAAGCGAUGCGUGAGAGACCAGACAACAUCAUCAAAUACCUAUGCAUCAGCUGGGGUGUUCUCAAGUUUUAUACAUAAGAAUGAAAGCACGACUAAAGAAAAAUCUCUUCGGGAACUCGGUUGUGAAUUGAUGGUUAAAGUUUUCCAGAGGUGUAAGUACCUUAGAAGUACUCGGCAAUCUGGUUAUGGCUAACCAAUAUUAUUUCAAACAACUGUUCGUUAUUCUGAGAUGGCCCCACGAGCUGCCCUCCCACUCUGUUUUAAUCGCAACUUGUCCGUGUUCAUGUUGACAAAAGAAGUUUGUUACCCUGCUUGAGACGCAUGCAUGGAAUAAGCUAAUCUACGGCUGACACCGAGUCUGAAUCAUCCUCUUUCAAGAGAUGGAACAACGGUAUCACUUCGUUAGUUCGUUGGAUCAGACGGGUGGCACUAACAGCAGCAGGAACGAAAAGUCCCUACAGUUCAGAAAUGUUUUCCUGCAACGGCGGUCACAUUCCGAUUUCUUUUAUCUUCGAUUUCCCACGAGGGCUUUUUGGUUAUGUUUGAUGAACUUCAACAAACGAUUGCAUGUCUACGGAGGUCUACGGUUUAUAACUCCACUACUCCGGGAAAUCAGCUGGUCGAUGUAUGACAGUUGUUUGGCUCUCGAAGCAAUGGAGCCCGUGUAAGACCGUGUUGGAGGAGCUGGAGGUGAAUGAGAAAUCAUGACCGUUUCUUUUGUAAGUGGGCACCAAAAUGUUCCCCAUGUACAAAAAGGUCAUCAAGUAUCUGAUGGAUAUGUCGACGAUCAAGGAGCACCUGCAAUGGUCUAUAAAUCACAGGAUUUCUUUAAUGAACGUUCUGCUCAUCUUUGACAACUGUGAAAUGGUCAACGAUGACGAUUCGCCGGUGGGCACAGCCGGUCAUAGAAUGUGCCAUCAUGCGUUGGGCUGAACUGACCGAGAAGCCGGCCACGCAACAACCACAACGACAGCAAUCAUCAUAACAGCCGGAUCAACAACACUCCAGCAGUCAACCGUAUCGAUUAAUUUAUAAGAAGUUAGUUUAAACAGUUUGACGUUAAAAAUUUAGGUAGUUAUAUUGAAACUCGGUAAAAUAGUAGAAAACCAAGACCUAAAAUGACCUCCAAAUGUAAAUAAUAGGAUUUUUUGAAUAGCUCAUGUAAAAAACUGUAGGCAAAUAGAAUUGUAGCAUUGAGACUACAUAAGAAAAUUCUCAAAAUGAAUCUUCACUCGAUCUUGAAAGUUUAAUUUAGUAAGAACAUUUAAAACGUUAAACGUGGAAAAAUUUUAUGA